AAAAAUUGGAGUUCCGACCCGCACGAAUGGCAUAAUGAUGUGGAGACUGUCUUAACCAUGUACUCGGCGAAAAUGCAAGUGUCGUGAAGAUGCGACAUACCCGCAGCUAGACGAAAAGACCCCGUGAAGCUUUACUAUAGUUUGACAUUGGUACAUUGUUCUACAUGUUCAGUAUAGGUGGGACCCGCAAGGGGCCAGUGAGAUACCACCCUUGUAUUGCGAUGUGUCUAAUCCAAUGCCGUGAAUCCGGUGUAGGAGACAGUGUCUGAUGGGUAGUUUAACUGGGGCGGUUGCCUCCCAAACAGUAACGGAGGCGUUUACAAAGGUUGGCUUGCUCCGGAUGGAAAUCGGAGUGGACGUGCAAACGCAGAAGCCAGCUUUACUGCAAGGGCUACCACCCGCGCAGUCACGAAAGUGGAAGUUAGUGAUCCGACCGUACGAUAUAGGACGGCGGAAGCUCAACGGAUAAAAGUUACUCCGGGGAUAACAGGCUGAUCCCACCCAAGCGUCCACAGCGACGGUGGGGUUUGGCACCUCGAUGUCGGCUCAUCGCAUCCU
rnacentral:rRNA from 1 species